rnacentral:rRNA from 1 species
GACGAACGCUGGCGGCGUGCUUAACACAUGCAAGUCGAACGGAAAGGCGCCUUCGGGGGUACUCGAGUGGCGAACAGGUGAGUAACACGUGAGUAACCUGCCCUUGACCUCGGGAUAACUUCAGGAAACUGGGGCUAAUACCGGAUAGGAAUCCUUGCUGCAUGGUGGGGGUUGGAAAGCUUCGGCGGUUUUGGAUGGACUCGCGGCUUAUCGGCUUGUUGGUGGGGUAGUGGCUUACCAAGGCUUUGACGGGUAGCCGGCCUGCGAGGGCGACCGGCCAUCCUGGGUCUGAGAUACGGCACAGACAGCGACGGGAGGGAGAAGGGGGGAAGAUUGCAGAAGGGGCGGCAGGCUGAUGCAGCAACGCUGCGGGCGGGAUGACGGCGUUAGGGUUGUAAACCGCAUUUAGCAGGAGCGAAGCUCGUGGUGACGGUACCUGCAGAAGAAGCACCGGCUAACUACGUG